AGUGAACGCUGGCGGUAGGCCUAACACAUGCAAGUCGAACGGCAGCACAGGAGAGCUUGCUCUCUGGGUGGCGAGUGGCGGACGGGUGAGGAAUACAUCGGAAUCUACUCUGUCGUGGGGGAUAACGUAGGGAAACUUACGCUAAUACCGCAUACGACCUACGGGUGAAAGCAGGGGAUCUUCGGACCUUGCGCGAGUGAAUGAGCCGAUGUCGGAUUAGCUAGUUGGCGGGGUAAAGGCCCACCAAGGCGACGAUCCGUAGCUGGUCUGAGAGGAUGAUCAGCCACACUGGACCUGAGACACGGUCCAGACUCCUACGGGAGGCAGCAGUGGGUAAUAUUGGACAAUGGGCGCAAGCCUGAUCCAGCCAUACCGCGUGGGUGAAGAAGGCCUUCGGGUUGUAAAGCCCUUUUGUUGGGAAAGAAAUCCAGCUGGCUAAUACCCGGUUGGGAUGACGGUACCCAAAGAAUAAGCACCGGCUAACUUCGUGCCAGCCGCCGCGGUAA
rnacentral:rRNA from 1 species